rnacentral:rRNA from 1 species
CACAGGGAGGUAGUGACAGUUAAUAACAAUACAGGGCUCUCAGAGUCUUGUAAUUGGAAUGAGUACAAUCUAAACCACUUAACGAGGAACAAUUGGAGGGCAAGUCUGGUGCCAGCAGCCGCGGUAAUUCCAGCUCCAAUAGCGUAUAUUAAAGUUGUUGCAGUUAAAAAGCUCGUAGUUGAACUUUGAGCUCGCUGGGUCGGUCCGCCUAACGGUGUGCACUGGCCCUGGUGGGUUCAUUUUUUUGGCUGUCCGGUCUGCUCUUUGCUGGGUGGACCAGGGGUGGCCAAGAUUUUUACUUUGAAAAAAUUAGAGUGUUCAAAGCAGGCUCGCGCUUGAAUACAUUAGCAUGGAAUAAUGGAAUAGGACCAUGGUUCUAUUUUGUUGGUUUACAGGACCAAGGUAAUGAUUAAUAGGGACAGUUGGGGGCAAUAGUAUUUCAGGGCUAGAGG